ensembl:lncRNA
CCUCUAUGGAGAUGACAGUCUGGUCAGAGGGAGAAGGAAGAGAGUGCCCCAGGGCCCUUCAGCCUUGUUGGACUCAGCUGAUAGAAGAGGGAAGCAGAAGAGUCAGCGUCAGAGUUCACCACUAGAAGAUGGAAAAGGCAAAGCAAUGGAUUCUCCCCUAGAGCCUCCAAAGGAAUACAGUUCUGCCAAUACCUUGACCUUAGCUCCAUGACACCCACUGUAGCCUUCUGACCUUCUAUGAGAAAAGGCUCAGGGCUAAGCAGCAAAAGACUGGAUCUUGAAUCUUCUGCCCAAGCACUUGGAGAAGCGCACCCUAGAGCCAGGAAUCCUCACUGUGGACUGUGAGGACUGUGCCAUCUCAGGGCCUCCUGCCAAGCUCCCCUGGCAACAGCAGUCAAAACACAAACUCGGC